rnacentral:rRNA from 1 species
GCGAAACUGCGAAUGGCUCAUUAUAUAAGUUAUCGUUUAUUUGAUAGUACCUUACUACUUGGAUAACCGUGGUAAUUCUAGAGCUAAUACAUGCUAAAAAUCCCGACUUCGGAAGGGAUGUAUUUAUUAGAUUAAAAACCAAUGCCCUCCGGGGCUCACUGGUGAUUCAUGAUAACUCCUCGAAUCGCAUGGCCUUGCGCCGGCGAUGGUUCAUUCAAAUUUCUUCCCUAUCAACUUUCGAUGUUUGGGUAUUGGCCAAACAUGGUUGCAACGGGUAACGGAGGGUUAGGGCUCGACCCCGGAGAAGGAGCCUGAGAAACGGCUACUACAUCCAAGGAAGGCAGCAGGCGCGCAAAUUACCCAAUCCCGACUCGGGGAGGUAGUGACAAUAAAUACUGAUACAGGGCUCUUUUGGGUCUUGUAAUUGGAAUGAGUACAAUUUAAAUCCCUUAACGAGGAACAAUUGGAGGGCAAGUCUGGUGCCAGCAGCCGCGGUAAUUCCAGCUCCAAUAGCGUAUAUUAAAGUUGUUGUGGUUAAAAAGCUCGUAGUUGAACCUUGGGCCUGGCUGGCCGGUCCGCCUCACCGCGUGUACUGGUCCGGCCGGGCCUUUCCCUCUGUGGAACCCCAUGCCCUUCACUGGGUGUGGCGGGGAAACAGGACUUUUACUGUGAAAAAAUUAGAGUGCUCCAGGCAGGCCUAUGCUCGAAUACAUUAGCAUGGAAUAAUAGAAUAGGACGUGUGGUUCUAUUUUGUUGGUUUCUAGGACCGCCGUAAUGAUUAAUAGGGACAGUCGGGGGCAUCAGUAUUCAAUUGUCAGAGGUGAAAUUCUUGGAUUUAUUGAAGACUAACUACUGCGAAAGCAUUUGCCAAGGAUGUUUUCAUUAAUCAGAACGAAAGUUAGGGGAUCGAGACGAUCAGAUACCGUCGUAGUCUACCAUAAACUAUGCCGACUAGGGAUCGGACGAUGUAUAUUUGACUCGUCGGCACUUACGAGAAUCAAAGUGCUGGCUCCCAGGGAGAUAUGUGCCAGGCUGAACUUAAAGAAUUGACCGACUGCACCACCCAGGGGUGGAGCUGCGGCUAUUGACUCACCCGGGAAACUCACCAGUCCAGACACAAUGAGAUUGACAGAUGAGAGCUCUUUCUGAUUUGUGGGUGGUGGUGCAUGGCCGUCUUAGUGGUGGAGUGAUUGUCUGCUUAAUGCGAUACGAACGAGACCUUAACCUGCUAAAUAGCCCGUAUUGCUUUGGCAGUACGCUGGCUUCUUAGAGGGACUAUCGGCUCAAGCCGAUGGAAGUUUGAGGCAAUAACAGGUCUGUGAUGCCGUUAGAUGUUCUGGGCCGCACGCGCGCUACACUGACGGAGCCAGCGAGUACUUCCUUGGCCGAAAGGCCCGGGUAAUCUUGUUAAACUCCGUCGUGCUGGGGAUAGAGCAUUGCAAUUAUUGCUCUUCAACGAGGAAUCCCUAGUAAGCGCAAGUCAUCAGCUUGCGUUGAUUACGUCCCUGCCCUUUGUACACACCGCCCGUCGCUACUACCGAUUGAAUGGCUCAGUGAGGCGUCCGGACUGGCCCAGGGAGGUGGGCAACUACCACCCAGGGCCGGAAAGCUCUCCAAACUCGGUCAUUUAGAGGAAGUAAAAGUCGUAACAAGGUCUCCGUUGGUGAACCAGCGGAGGGAUCAUUA